GACAGAGGAUGCAAGCGUUAUCCGGAAUGAUUGGGCGUAAAGCGUCUGUAGGUGGCUUUUUAAGUCUGCCGUCAAAUCCCAGGGCUUAACCCUGGACAGGCGGUGGAAACUACCAAGCUGGAGUACGGUAGGGGCAGAGGGAAUUUCCGGUGGAGCGGUGAAAUGCGUAGAGAUCGGAAAGAACACCAACGGCGAAGCACUCUGCUGGGCCGAACACUGACACUGAGAGACGAAAGCUAGGGGAGCGAAUGGG
rnacentral:rRNA from 1 species